UUGUAAGGAGACGAGGAUCGUCUAGGAGGGACCCUUAGUUUUCUUCAACUUGAAGUGACAAAACCCAGCACCAUUUACAGGUCACUCAAGACUUCAGUCUCCCCGCCCAGAGCCUGCCUGUAUCCGGAUUACCCUUCGUGCUCCCAGAGUACCAAACCGGGUGCCCCCGUGGCAGAUCCCCAGCCCUGAGCGCCACGCCUGCGGGCAAGCGUCCCGAAGGCUGGCAAAUACGCUUCUUUGGAGGACUGCACACUAUCUGAGGCUUAUGUUAUUCUCCUAGCAUGGGCACUCUGUGUUAACUCCUGGGAUGUGCUGCUCUUUGCCUUUCUCUGGGUUGCAGAGGCAGCCUGUCCCAUGAAAGAAUGUUUGGGAGGACAUUUGCAUUAAACAUGCUUGCGGUCUAAGACAAGCACCUUCCAGUAUGAGAGAUGCUAGCCAAUAGAGAUGAAGCUUGCAGGCUUGCCUUGGACUUUCCAGAUGUGGGCGCUCAGAAGUUAGGACGGUCUUCUGCAGUGUUCUCUUCCCUGGCAUGAUCACAUGAAGAAAGCCUGCCUGCUGAUUUUUAAGGCACGAAGAUCCAAGAUGUGAAGAGCAGCCAAUUCAUACCCCCUCCUCUAUGGAUCACUGUUCUUGCCAUCAUGCCUUCUCAGAAUGGACUGAAACCUCCAAACCCAUGAGCCAAGAUAAAUCUUUCCUCUCCUAAGCCAGUAUUUUGUUACAGUUAGGAGAAAAACAGCUAAUCCGCAACUUCCAUCCAUUUUCAGGUUUGAGCCAACCAAUAGAUCCAUAACCCUUCUAGUGAUCAGGAGGGACACUUGAUAAAGACCCUAACACUAAAACUUUAUAAAGUUAGUCUUCCCAUUAGUUUCCUCACAAGGACCAAUAGCUUAAAAAAAAAAAAAAAACUAAUUGUUUUCUACUAGGGAAUUGAGCUUUGGAAAAGAAUAAGUCAUCAGACCUUUGAGGAUCUAAUGGACUUUGGUCACUGGCUUCACACUGACACUUAGCCUCCUAUGUUUAGAACAUGAGCUUAUGGUGUUAGGCGAUCAAUUGAAUUUUAGCUUGAGUGCAUUUAGAAGUGGGUCUAGUAGGUUUCCUAAUCUAUCCAGUGGCUAUUUCCCCAGUUUCAGAAUGUAUUAUUGGACUAGAUAUACUUGAUAGCAUGCAGAAAGCCUACAUUGGUUUCAUGACCUUUGGAAUGAGGGCAUGGGAAAGUCCAGAUGGAAUUCACUAGAAUUCUUCCUUGGAAAUAAACUCAAAGUGUACCACAUUCCUAGAGGAACUGCAGAGAGGAGUACCAACAGUAAAGAUUUUCAAGUCAGGAUUCUCACCACAUAUCCAUUAAAUUUGCCUGCUUUCAAAACGUAGGCAGGUAUGCCUCUACAUUUAGGAAGGAACAGGUACUCUUUUAGCCUGAAGAUUUAUAAAGACUGAAUUAAAGGCCAGUAAGAUGGUGCAGUGGGUAAGGACACUUGCCACCAAGUCUGAGAUUGGUCCACAGAACCUAUAUGGUAGAAGGAAAGAAGCAAUGAGCCUUGCUGUCUUCUCACGUCCACGUGCAUGCCAUGGCAGGCAACCUGCUUACUAACUAUACAUAUGUAGAGAAAGAGAUGGGACUGGAGAUGGUGAGAUGGCUUUGGAGGUAAGAGCACAUGUUUUGAAAGUAAGAGGCCCAGAGUUCUAAUUUUCAGCACUUGGGUGAAUAGCUGGGCUUGGCCAUGUGUGCCUGUAACUCCAGUGUUUUGGGAUUAGAGACAGGAAGAUCUUUGGGAGUACACUGGUCAGGAAACCUAGCUUGAGUGGCAAGCUUCACGUUCAGCGCAAGACCCUGUCGUGAGGUUGAGAGAGACAGAGGAAGACACCAGACUCUUCCAUUCACUCCCGCCAGCACCCAGGCACACCCAUGUGUGCACACACACACAUCUCCCCCGAAUCGCACAAAAACAGUUAUAUAAGAUCCCAUUUGGAUGCCCGACUCGCUUCACAUUCUACAGCAGAACAUCAAAAUGCACAAGUUAAAUAUAGAAAGCCCCAGCACGGCUUUAGCUUUAAUCGUUCCAAUUAUUCAAAGGGUUCAUGGAAUUAUUAAUUUGGAAGGGUGAAUUACUUGGUGAAAAUUGCGAAAAGCAUUCUGGAACCUGUCACGUGUAGCAACUCUGCAGUCUGAGAAAUUGCUACUGGCGUUUGCAAGCACGGCAGAAAUUUAAGAAAUUGUCGCCAAACUAUUUGCUUGUUUGAAUGCCAAGGUUUCCUCCCCUACAUCACAUGCUUUACCCUGCUGCCAACACUUAUCAAAAUACUCCCCCAGUUGUCACAGAGCGAAUUGUUCUCAGGGUUACUGCUCCUUUAUUCUCCAUGUCCUUACAAGUUCCUUGUCUUGCCACUUCCUGGAGACUUAUUUGAAUAAUAUAAAUAAUAUAUGGUGUAGUGGUUAGAUUUGAAAACUUGGGCUGAGGGUCACCUUCCACAGUAGAAUCAAGUAAGGCUGGAAAGUAUGGGUUUCAGACUUCCUAUGUGUUCUUAAUGUUUGGAUUUUUAUAGGGCGGCUCUUGCGCAAAGUGAAACACUUGACAGAAAGUCCAAAAAACAAGCUUCAGAGAGGAAGACUCUAGAGAAAAGCAUUAAGCUAGUCCAGCUAAGUGUAUUUGUUGUAGUCAAGGGGUAUAAUUGUGUGGUGCAAAAUGUAACAGGAGACCUAGAGAUAGUCCACAACCCUUUGAAACAGACUGAGGCUGAAUUUGCAGGUUCUGUGAUGACCCCAGUGGGUCAGUGUCAGCCUGGGUUUGAAAACUCUAUGGCAUAUGAGACAAGGAAGGUGGACGACUGGGUAAAUGUGAUCCUGAACCUCAGCCACAGACUCAAAGAUGCAGCAAGUGCAGCCCUUCUCCAUAAGGAUAACACCCACACUAUCCGGAGUACAGGGAAUAUAUCUCUCUACUUUGUUUUAUACGCUAGUGACUUUAAUGGUCACCUUGGAAGUUCUGUCAAAAUGGCAAGUUCAUAUGCUCUUGAGCAAGCACGUCCCCAUACCUUUUCAGGAAAAAAUAGACAGACAGAUGCUCAUUGCAGCAAAACUCUCAAUCUCAAAUAUACUAUGGGGUAGAGAGGAAAAUACAGAGAGGGAGAGAGAGGGAGAGAGAAGGGGGAGGGAGGUACAAUUUAAUAAAUAACAGUUAUUUCAUUGCAGGGCUGAGAGCUGGGAAGUGGCUUAGACUUUUAGACCUCACUUUUCAUACUUCUAUACACUACAUUUCAUGAGUCUGUGAUUUUGAGUGGCUUUUGGAUGAUUACGCCUCUGUUAUAGGUGUGGAUCAGGGUCCCGAGGGCAUCUAUUAGAAUUUCUAGGCUCUUGUGUCCCAGGACAAAGAACUGGGCCAGGGACACCUAGAUAACAGUGGAAGGAAAGAUGGUUUAUUUUACAGUUUUAAAAGUAUAAAUAUA